GAUGAACGCUGGCGGCGUGCCUAAUACAUGCAAGUCGAGCGAACAGACGAGGAGCUUGCUCCUCUGACGUUAGCGGCGGACGGGUGAGUAACACGUGGAUAACCUACCUAUAAGACUGGGAUAACUUCGGGAAACCGGAGCUAAUACCGGAUAAUAUAUUGAACCGCAUGGUUCAAUAGUGAAAGACGGUUUUGCUGUCACUUAUAGAUGGACCCGCGCCGCAUUAGCUAGUUGGUAAGGUAACGGCUUACCAAGGCGACGAUGCGUAGCCGACCUGAGAGGGUGAUCGGCCACACUGGAACUGAGACACGGUCCAGACUCCUACGAGAGGCAGCAGUAGGGAAUCUUCCGCAAUGGGCGAAAGCCUGACGGAGCAACGCCGCGUGAGUGAUGAAGGUCUACGGAUCGUAAAACUCUGUUAUUAGGGAAGAACAAAUGUGUAAGUAACUAUGCACGUCUUGACGGUACCUAAUCAGAAAGCCACGGCUAACUACGUG
rnacentral:rRNA from 1 species